rnacentral:lncRNA from 1 species
CAGGUUGUUAUUGUUUAGCUCAAAUUCAGGAGUAGGUAUGUUUUAGACAUAUUAACUGAAUUGGGAGCAUGUUAUUAGCUGUUAUUAAUCAUACAUGUUGGACUUGGAUAAAACAUAGGAGAAAACCAGCGUUCGGGACCUGGCAUAUGUUAAACUACCUGAUUUAGCCCUAGGGGCCGUUGUAUUUUUAUACUGUUGCAGUAUCCUCAUAGUGAGUAUCCCAGAUAGUUCAGAUUUCAGUUACACUCGUGCUGAGAUGCCGAGCCGAUUUUUACAGUAGUGUUUACAGUAUUCCGGAUUAGUGGGUGCCGUAGUGGUUGACGGCGGACCCGGAUUUGAUCGUUCCGAUAUCAGAUUGUGCCGAGGGCACGUGACUAGUGGAUGGUAGUACUGUUAGACCUGUUUUCUUGACUUUAGCCUGUGAGAGCCUUAUUGAGCUCGACAGAGAUACGCUUACAUACUCGGUUGGGUCGCGCCCACGAGUGCAGCUCCGGAGUCUGGCUUUGUGCUUUCGCGUUGAUGUCACUGAUUAGUUGCUAUUCACGGACUGUUUAGCGUGGAGGUAGCGCGGCUUAGACAGGCGGGACGAGUGCGUACACAGUCCCUAAUGAGAUUGGGUCAGAAUUAAUAGUAGACACAGUUGGAUAGUGUAGUGGCAUGUAGCUAUGGAUUUCUUUCCGGGUUACCUUUUAGCCUUGUUUUCUACUGUAGUUUUAGUGGGUGAGCCGAUAAUUUUGAGGGCGGUACCCACUGAGGACUACUUGUUUUACAGUAGUUCUUACGCCCAGUUGUUACCCUGUGUUUUGCAGAGCUUGCUGUUCCGGCUGCUGCGUCUUCAGAGGCUAAUCGAGGCAAGGGCGUCGCGAGCUAGAGCCCUACCCGAUGAAUCGCCGUGCUAGAGGAUCACCAGCUGCAGGUAGUAGUGUUUUUAUUUUGAGCUUAUGUACAUACUGAUACUAGAACUCGCUGGAGUGAGUGUUUUUUUACUUGUUAGUUUGUAUGUAUAUGAGAUUGUUCAUUCUACCUCCUUAGUUCUUUUCAGCUCUACACUACUGUUUGUAGUAUUGUAUAUUUUACAGAUACAAUUAUCGCUUCGUAUACAGGAAAAAUUUCUUUGUAUACGGCGGAUUUGUCGGCGUGCUCGGGUGUAAGGACUGAGAUUUUUGCAGUGUAGCUAAACUCUCAGUUGACGAUGUUUUUGUGUGUAAUUUAAUUACAAAAGCACUCGUCAAGUUUCGGGCGAAAACGAGUUAAAACGGAAAUUCUACGGGAUUUCUAAGUUUCACUUAAAGUGAAUAGUAACUCGAUUUUUNGAACCUGGCAUAUGUUAAACUACCUGAUUUAGCCCUAGGGGCCGUUGUAUUUUUAUACUGUUGCAGUAUCCUCAUAGUGAGUAUCCCAGAUAGUUCAGAUUUCAGUUAUGCUCGUGCUGGGAUGCCGAGCUGAUUUUUACAGUAGUGUUUACAGUAUUCCGGAUUAGUGGGUGCCGUAGUGGUUGACGGCGGACCCGGAUUUGAUCGUUCCGAUAUCAGAUUGUGCCGAGGGCACGUGACUAGUGGUUGGUAGUACUGUUAGACUUG